rnacentral:rRNA from 1 species
UUAUUCCUACGGGAGGCAGCAGUGGGGAAUAUUGCACAAUGGGGGGAACCCUGACGCAGCGACGCCGCGUGGGCGAGGAAGUAGUUCGGUAUGUAAAGCCCUAUCGGCAGGGAAGAAGAAAUGACGGUACCUGAAUAAGAAGCACCGGCUAAAUACGUGCCAGCAGCCGCGGUAAUACGUAUGGUGCAAGCGUUAUCCGGAUUUACUGGGCGUAAAGGGAGCGCAGGCGGCGCGCCAAGGCUGAU